CCUACGGGCGGCUGCAGUGGGGAAUAUUGGACAAUGGGCGAAAGCCUGAUCCAGCCAUGCCGCGUGUGUGAAGAAGGCCUUCGGGUUGUAAAGCACUUUCAGUGGGGAAGAAAGCCUUGGGGCUAAUACCCUCGAGGAAGGACAUCACCCACAGAAGAAGCACCGGCUAACUCCGUGCCAGCAGCCGCGGUAAUACGGAGGGUGCGAGCGUUAAUCGGAAUUACUGGGCGUAAAGCGCGCGUAGGCGGUCUGAUAAGCCGGUUGGGAAAGCCCCGGGCUCAACCUGGGAACGGCAUCCGGAACUGUCAGGCUAGAGUGCAGGAGAGGAAGGUAGAAUUCCCGGUGUAGCGGUGAAAUGCGUAGAGAUCGGGAGGAAUACCAGUGGCGAAGGCGGCCUUCUGGACUGACACUGACGCUGAGGUGCGAAAGCGUGGGUAGCAAACAGGAUUAGAUACCCCAGUAGUC
rnacentral:rRNA from 1 species